GCCGGAGUGGUGAAAUUGGUAGACGCACGGGACUCAAAAUCCCGCGGGCCUUGCGCUCAUGGGGGUUCGAUUCCCCCCUCCGGCA
rnacentral:tRNA from 1 species